CAAGUAACAUCACAGCCUUAGUUCUGAACCCAAAUGAAAUAAAGCAAAGUACUGUUGGUGUGCGCUGUGUCGCAAUCAGUGUUUAGUGUGUGUGCUUCGUUUUGUGUUUCGUGCAGUUUCAACUCAACUGUUCACAUGUGCCGUCGCCGUUCUCCGUGUUUUGUGCGCCGUGUCACCAAGUGAGAUGGCCCUUGAACAACAGACAAGUUCUGUCUGUGAUGCAGUUAUCAUCAAAGAAGAGACAGUGGAGGCUGAGCCACAAGUGUCUCCUAUGUGAGAGAUUGAGUAUGCAUCUGUUAAAGAAGAACCUCUGUGUCUGCAGAAAUGGGAGGAGCCAGAUGGGCACAAUAAUACACAGGACCCACUAAGCAUUGCCACAGAGGUGAGCUGGUGUUAAACAGCAGGGCUAUUUGGGAAGCAUGAUUAACUGAUAAUAGGACAAGUGAAAAAGGAAUAAGAGCAAGAUUUUCAGUAGCAAAGCAGGCUUCCUAGACAAUGCUGAAAAUGUCCAUUGGUGUCAGCAAAAAUGUAGUAAAUGAACUACUGGUGUUCCUGUAAGUCCCAUCAAGCACACCACAAACCACAUCAAAUGCAAAAAGAACCAACCAAUUCGAUCCAUUUGCAGGAGGAAGUUUGUAGCAUUCAUAUCCUGAAUGUGUAGUGUUGGAUAGUGCCACUUAUCCUUCUGUUUAGUAUACAAAUGGUCACUAACCCAAAGGAUAUCCUAAAUACUUGACCCUGCCUUUUUAUCACCAAUAGAA